CCUACGGGAGGCAGCAGUGAGGAAUAUUGGUCAAUGGACGAGAGUCUGAACCAGCCAAGUAGCGUGAAGGAUGACUGCCCUAUGGGUUGUAAACUUCUUUUAUAAGGGAAUAAAACGAGGCACGUGUGCCUUUUUGCAUGUACCUUAUGAAUAAGCAUCGGCUAACUCCGUGCCAGCAGCCGCGGUAAUACGGAGGAUGCGAGCGUUAUCCGGAUUUAUUGGGUUUAAAGGGUGCGUAGAUGGGUUGUUAAGUCAGGUGUGAAAGUUUGAGGCUCAACCUUAAAAUUGCAAUUGAUACUGGCAGUCUUGAGUACAGUUGAGGUAAGCGGAAUGCGUGGUGUAGCGGUGAAAUGCUUAGAUAUCACGAAGAACCCCGAGUGCGAAGGCAGCUUACUAAACUGUGACUGACAUUGAUGCUCGAAAGUGUGGGUAUCAAACAGGAUUAGAUACCCCAGUAGUC
rnacentral:rRNA from 1 species